AUUGAACGCUGGCGGCAUGCCUUACACAUGCAAGUCGAACGGUAACAGGUCUUCGGAUGCUGACGAGUGGCGAACGGGUGAGUAAUACAUCGGAACGUGCCCGAGAGUGGGGGAUAACGAAGCGAAAGCUUUGCUAAUACCGCAUACGAUCUCAGGAUGAAAGCAGGGGACCGCAAGGCCUUGCGCUCACGGAGCGGCCGAUGGCAGAUUAGGUAGUUGGUGGGAUAAAAGCUUACCAAGCCGACGAUCUGUAGCUGGUCUGAGAGGACGACCAGCCACACUGGGACUGAGACACGGCCCAGACUCCUACGGGAGGCAGCAGUGGGGAAUUUUGGACAAUGGGCGCAAGCCUUAUCCAACCAUGCCGCGUGCAGGAUGAAGGCCUUCGGGUUGUAAACUGCUUUUGUACGGAACGAAAAGACUCUGGUUAAUACCUGGGGUCCAUGACGGUACCGUAAGAAUAAGCACCGGCUAACUACGUGCCAGCCGCCGCCGUAAAAC
rnacentral:rRNA from 1 species